rnacentral:rRNA from 1 species
UGUGAGGCUGAUGUGUAGGCAAAUCCGCACAUCGAUAAGGCUGGGCUGUGAUGGGGAGCGAAAAUUGCAGUAGCGAAGGUCAUGAGUUCAGGCUGCCAAGAAAAGCCUCUAGCCAGGUGAAGGUGCCCGUACCGCAAACCGACACAGGUAGGCGAGCAGAGUAUGCUAAGGCGCUCGGAAGAACUCUCGUUAAGGAACUCGGCAAAAUGACCCCGUAACUUCGGGAGAAGGGGUGCCUCGGUAGGGUGAAUAGCCCGAGGGGGCCGCAGUGAAAAGGCCCAAGCGACUGUUUAGCAAAAACACAGGUCUGUGCGAAGCCGUAAGGCGAAGUAUACGGGCUGACGCCUGCCCGGUGCUGGAAGGUUAAGGGGAGUGGUUAGCCGCAAGGCGAAGCUAUGAACCGAAGCCCCAGUAAACGGCGGCCGUAACAAUAACGGUCCUAAGGUAGCGAAAUUCCUUGUCAGGUAAAUUCUGACCCGCACGAAUGGCGUAACGACUUGGGCGCUGUCUCAACGAGAGAUCCGGUGAAAUUUUAAUACCUGUGAAGAUGCAGGUUACCCGCGACAAGACGGAAAGACCCCAUGGAGCUUUACUGCAGCUUGAUAUUGGACUUUGGUACGAUCUGUACAGGAUAGGUGGGAGCCUUGGAAACCGGAGCGCCAGCUUCGGCGGAGGCAUCGUUGGGAUACCACCCUGAUCGUAUCGGAGUUCUAACCUGGUACCGUGAUCCGGUACAGGGACCGUGUCAGGUGGGCAGUUUGACUGGGGCGGUCGCCUCCUAAAAUGUAACGGAGGCGCCCAAAGGUUCCCUCAGAAUGGUUGGAAAUCAUUCGUAGCGUGCAAAGGCAUAAGGGAGCUUGACUGCGAGACCUACAAGUCGAGCAGGGACGAAAGUCGGGCUUAGUGAUCCGGUGGUACCGCAUGGAAGGGCCAUCGCUCAACGGAUAAAAGCUACCCUGGGGAUAACAGGCUUAUCUCCCCCAAGAGUCCACAUCGACGGGGAGGUUUGGCACCUCGAUGUCGGCUCAUCGCAUCCUGGGGCUGAAGUAGGUCCCAAGGGUUGGGCUGUUCGCCCAUUAAAGCGGUACGCGAGCUGGGUUCAGAACGUCGUGAGACAGUUCGGUCCCUAUCUGUCGUGGGCGUAGGAAAUUUGAGAGGAGCUGUCCUUAGUACGAGAGGACCGGGAUGGACGCACCGCUGGUGUACCAGUUGUUCCGCCAGGAGCAUAGCUGGGUAGCUACGUGCGGACGGGAUAAGCGCUGAAAGCAUCUAAGCGUGAAGCCCCCCUCAAGAUGAGAUUUCCCAGUAUGUAAGACCCCUGGAAGACGACCAGGUUGAUAGGUUCGAGGUGGAAGCGCAGCAAUGCGUGGAGCUGACGAAUACUAAUCGGUCGAGGGCUUAUUC